UUAUAUAUAUAUAUAUCGACUUUCAUUAUAUAUAUAUAUCGACUUUCACUAUAUAUAUAUCAACUUUCAUUAUAUAUAUAUCAAGUUUCAUUAUAUAUAUAUAUCAACUUUCAUUAUAUAUAUAUCAAGUUUCAUUAUAUAUAUAUCGACUUUCAUUAUAUAUAUAUAUCAACUUUCAUUAUAUAUAUAUCAAAUCUUUUUUUCCUACCGAGCCCCGGAAGGGACAUGUCCGUAUGGCGAAGCGACAACGAAGGACACUCACCCGGACGAGAAUUUUAUUGAGUUUUAUUUUAAAAUCGGCCUGAAACACACAGACAUUCAAGCAGUGCGAUGCGCUAAGAGUCUGCCAUGCAGACCAGCGAUCCUGAUAAUGUUGUCGGCCUUGGAUGAUGAGGUCCAGUUACCAGGAGCACUAGUCUGCAGCUUACUGGUUCCGUCCUGCAGCUCCUCCACGCUGUCCUCCUCUCUACAGACCAAAUCAAGAAAAGGGAACCAGGAAGCUGCUGUGGAUCCUCUGCAGUAUCUGGAGAGGUCAGAGGAAUGGUUCUUGGAACAGAUCGGAAGACACCAAGACGUGACCUCUGCCAUGCUCCAGAACAUCCAGAAGAUGAAUGAAAACCUUGGUUGCACUGAUGGGACGCAUGGUGUCGGUGCUGGAGCAACUGUCCCAGAAUUAAACUGCAUUGUUGACUAUUAGCUUUUCUAGAAAAUAAAUCUUUUUUAGUACUUCACCUGUUUUGUAUUUUACUCAUGCACUUUGGGUGAAUAAACAGAAAUUUGUGAUGAGAGAUGCAAAUUUUGUCUAUAAUCUACAGAGACUUUAUUCAGUGUUCAGUGCACACUUUUGUUACACACAUUUUGACAGAUAAGCAGUUGUGCUUUUCAAGCAGAUUUUAGUCAGAAACAUCAGUAGCAUAUGUUUUUUUUUACUGUUACACCAAUCUAGGUAGAUAAACUGCACUACUGCAGCAGAUAUAUUAUUGAAAUGUGCUUCUAUUAUGUGUCUACAUACACUGCUCACAAAUAGUUAUUCAACUUUUGGGUGAA